rnacentral:rRNA from 1 species
GAGUUUGAUCCUGGCUCAGAACGAACGCUGGCGGCAUGCCUAACACAUGCAAGUCGAACGAGGGCUUCGGCCUUAGUGGCGCACGGGUGAGUAACGCGUGGGAACCUGCCCUGUGGUACGGAAUAACUCCGGGAAACUGGAGCUAAUACCGUAUGUGUCCUUUGGGACAAAGAUUUAUCGCCAUGGGAUGGGCCCGCGUAGGAUUAGCUUGUUGGUGGGGUAACGGCCUACCAAGGCUUCGAUCCUUAGCUGGUCUGAGAGGAUGAUCAGCCACACUGGGACUGAGACACGGCCCAGACUCCUACGGGAGGCAGCAGUGGGGAAUAUUGGACAAUGGGCGCAAGCCUGAUCCAGCAAUGCCGCGUGAGUGAUGAAGGCCUUCGGGUUGUAAAGCUCUUUCGCACGCGACGAUGAUGACGGUAGCGUGAGAAGAAGCCCCGGCUAACUUCGUGCCAGCAGCCGCGGUAA